rnacentral:rRNA from 1 species
AUUGAACGCUGGCGGCAUGCUUUACACAUGCAAGUCGAACGGUAACAGGCCUUCGGGUGCUGACGAGUGGCGCACGGGUGAGUAAUGCAUCGGAACGUGCCCAGAGGUGGGGGAUAACGCAGCGAAAGCUGUGCUAAUACCGCAUGUGAUCUGAGGAUGAAAGCGGGGGACCAGGCAGCAAUGUUUGGCCUCGCGCCUUUGGAGCGGCCGAUGUCAGAUUAGGUAGUUGGUGGGGUAAAGGCCUACCAAGCCGACGAUCUGUAGCUGGUCUGAGAGGACGGUCAGCCACACUGGGACUGAGACAGGGCCCAGACUCCUACGGGAGGCAGCAGUGGGGAAUUUUGGACAAUGGGCGGAAGCCUGAUCCAGCAAUGCCGCGUGCGGGAAGAAGGCCUUCGGGUUGUAAACCGCUUUUGUACGGAACGAAAAGGCUCUGGCUAAUACCUGGGGCUGAUGACGGUACCGGAAGAAUAAGCACCGGCUAACUACGUG